rnacentral:lncRNA from 1 species
CAGUAUCAAAUGUUUAUUUGGAGUACUGUUUGCUUAAGUCUAAAACUGUUUUAUGCAGCACGCACCACACAAAGUUAGAAUGGAAGUAUAUAAAUGAAGAACCAAAUUAUAAUGCAAAGAUUGGCUUUGCAAAGUUUAUAGCAACAGCAAUAUUUCAUCCGUUUGAGAUGAAGUGAUUUUUGAAGUUUAAAAUCUAGUGAGUAUGGGUUCAACUAGAAACCAAAUUAGUUGAGAAGAACUCUAGUGUCUCACAAUUGAUUCCAAAGGGGCCAAAUACAAAUCAAAGUAUAAAGGAAAAUUCACACUAGAGAGCUUCAACAUAGUUUGGAUUAUUGUGUAGCCAGUUAAAUUUAUACAUAUAACAUGGUAGAUUGGUAUUUACCCAUAUGUAAAUGGAGGACUCUUGGAUCAAAAAUCAACAAGCAUUAUCUACUCAGAUGUUAAUUCCUACUAACUCACAACUAAUUUGGGUUAAUCAACUCCUAAACGAAAACAAGCAACGGAACCAACAGCUCAUUGCAGAACAAUUCAGUACAGAUAUUGCACAGAAUAUUUUACAAACUGAAAUUGGGGAAGGGGAUGAUUCAGUUACCUGGCCAAGGGAGAAAAAGGGUUGCUACACCGUGGCUUCAGGAUAUUUACUGGCACACUAGUUCUACCACCCUCCACUCGAGCUGAUGCCACUCCACUGCCAGCAGAAGAAGCUCUGGACUUCUAUUUGGGACCUGAAAGUGCAACCGAAAAUAAGAAUCUUCCUCUGGAAAGUAAUGCAUUGCCAGUGAACCAACAACUCCAUGGAAGAAUCAGAACAAUACCCCCAACCUGUCGAAGAUGUACCGCGAUGGAAGAAACAGUCCAACACUGCAUAAUUAGCUGUGGUCAGUCAUGGUCCACUUGGCUCAGAUCCAAAAUUGGAGUCCCUGGAAGUCAAACGGACCAAGAAGUAUGGCAACGGUGGAUGGAGUUAACUGAGAAGUUGAAAAGAAGCAGAAAUGGCGUGAAGAAAUUGAGAGAAGCUGCAAACCUGAUGUGGGAGAUAUAGAAGGCUCGCAACAGAUUCAUGUUUGACGGUGAAGAGUUCGAUGAGGCUUGUGUCCUUGAACGAGCCAGAAGGAGUGAAUCAGAGUUCCAAGCGUGCUUGCUCGACUGAGGAAUGCGAAGAAGAUUAGAAAUGUCUGAAGAAGAAGUUUUCACUUUACUCUUUCCUUCCCUUUCAAUGUUGUUUCCUGAUUUAGAUAAGUUUCGUUGGGAAAUCUCUCUUUUAGUCUUGUAAGUGGUCCAUCGUGGACCCAAAUCCUAAUUUUCAGGAAAUGAAAUUCUACCUUUGAGAAAAAAAAAACAAGGAUGAAAGCC